AAAAAAACAGAACAGAAAAGAAAGAAAUUCGAAAUGGAAGGGGUUUUGGAGAAGAAAACAGAGAGGGGGGGAGCGAGGACUGAAAAAGGUGGAUAACUCAAGGUUGCUGAAAGGRAAGAAGAAGAAGCGUUGUGAUUUUAGAGCCAAAAGUUGAAAUUUGGACGAUCGGAAAUUGGAGCAACGUACCAACCAAAUUCACCUCGUUCAUAGGAUCUGCUGCACCUGAGUUUCAUAGGGACUUGCCGACCAGUUUCUGCCACUCACCGUCUCAGAAUUUGCAUAUCAUUUUGUAUGUACAUCUAGAAUGACUUAUACUGGAAUAGUUGUACCUUUUGUUAUUGUACAACAUGUUUAGGAGUCGUGGCCGAGUAGUUAUUUUUUUUAGAUGAAUUA